CCCUUAGAUGUUCUGGGCUGCACACGCGCUACACUGGCAGGUUCAGCGAGCUUCAUGCCCUGAUCUGAGAAGAAUGGGAAAUCUUUUCAACACCUGCCGUGCUUGGGAUAGAUGUUUGCAAUUAUUCAUCUUCAACGAGGAUUGCCUUGUAAGCGCACGUCAUCAGCGUGCAUUGAAUACGACCCUGUAUUCUGUACACACCGCCCGUCGCUCCUACCGAUUGAAGUUUUCGGUGAAUUUGCUGGAGGUUGGCUUUGAAACUGGUUCGCCAGCGGAUUGGCUUACCAAAAGCAAAUGAAUCGAGGGCUUUAGAGGAAGGAGAAGUCGUAACA
rnacentral:rRNA from 1 species